rnacentral:rRNA from 1 species
GACGAACGCUGGCGGCGCGCUUAACACAUGCCAGUCGAACGGAAAGGCCUGCUUUCCCUUGUGGAUUGCGGGUACUCGAGUGGCGAACGGGUGAGUAACACGUGAGUGAUCUGCCCCCAACUUGGGUAUAAGCCUGGGAAACUGGGUCUAAUUCCCGAUAGGACUGCAGGGUGGUGCCUGUGGUGGAAAACGAUUUUCUAGUGGUUGGGGAUGAGCUCGCGGCCUAUCAGCUUGUUGGUGGGGUAAUGGCCUACCAAGGCGGCGACGGGUAGCCGGCCUGAGUGGGUGGACGGCCACAUUGGGACUGAGAUACGGCCCAGACUCCUACGGGAGGCAGCAGUGGGGAAUAUUGCACAAUGGGCGGAAGCCUGAUGCAGCGACGCCGCGUGGGGGAUGACGGCCUUCGGGUUGUAAACUCCUUUCGACCGCGAGGAAGCCACCUGGUUGGAAGGGUGGUGACGGUAGUGGUAGAAGAAGCACCGGCUAACUACGUG